rnacentral:rRNA from 1 species
CGACUGGCGCACGGGUGAGUAACGCGUAUCCAACCUUCCCAUGACCACGGGAUAACCCGUUGAAAGACGGCCUAAUACCGUAUGACGUCGUUUGCCGACAUCGAAAGACGACCAAAGGUUUGGCGGUGAUGGAUGGGGAUGCGUCUGAUUAGCUUGUUGGCGGGGUAACGGCCCACCAAGGCGACGAUCAGUAGGGGUUCUGAGAGGAAGGUCCCCCACAUUGGAACUGAGACACGGUCCAAACUCCUACGGGAGGCAGCAGUGAGGAAUAUUGGUCAAUGGGCGAGAGCCUGAACCAGCCAAGUAGCGUGCAGGAUGACGGCCCUAUGGGUUGUAAACUGCUUUUACGCGGGGAUAAAGUGCGUGACGUGUCGCGCAUCGCAGGUACCGCGUGAAUAAGGACCGGCUAA